rnacentral:rRNA from 1 species
UACGUAGGGUGCGAGCGUUAAUCGGAAUUACUGGGCGUAAAGCGUGCGCAGGCGGUUUUGUAAGCCAGGUGUGAAAUCCCCGGGCUCAACCUGGGAAUGGCAUUUGGGACUGCAAGGCUGGAGUGCGGCAGAGGAGACUGGAAUUCCUGGUGUAGCAGUGAAAUGCGUAGAUAUCAGGAGGAACACCGAUGGCGAAGGCAGGUCUCUGGGCUGACACUGACGCUCAUGCACGAAAGCGUGGGGAGCAAACAGGA